CGGAAUACCGUCAGGGUGGCCUAGCUCCGGAAUACCGUCAGGGUGGCCUAGCCCCGGAAUACCGUCAGGGUGGCCUAGCUCCGGAAUACCGUCAGGGUGGCCUCUCCUUCCGCAGACCGGUGUCCAGAGGGGCCAAACACCGCCGAUGUCCGAUCCUGGUCUCUCCUAAAAAGAAACAAAGGCUCCAAGAUAAUAAGCUCCAGAGCAGCUGGCUGUCUCGCUGGGGCCUCCAAGAACGUUGCACCCAGUGAGAGAGAACCAACCAGAGACCGAUAUUAAUCCACAUAGGAGUUUAUUACCGGCCGGGACCCGAGCUGAACAUCGGACUCGAGCCUCGACUGGGGGGAGAUUAACAUAUUUUAUACACCUUUGAGGCCAGCAGUUUCUAGGCCCCCUAUGGGAUAGAACUAGUAAAGCAAGCAAAAGGGAUCAAACUCAGGACCUUGUGCUGCACCGGAACCACUGAGCUAAAUCCCUGGCCAAGCUUCCUCCUUCUGAGUUCAUCUAAAGGGCAGGCAGGCCAGCGGAAUUGUGCUUACAGCCUCAAGAUUCAUUAGCAAAUUCUGUGAUUUGGAAUGUGUAUCAUGUGCUAGGCACUAAUAUCCCAUCUUCACGGGGGAAGAAAACACAGAAAAAAGUAGAAUUCCUCGAUCAAGCACUAUGCACCAUGUAACCUGGAUGGAGAUCCACCAAUUGCCUUUGUUACUAGGACACUAACUGACACUCUCAUCAGUCCUGAGUGAGUGUGCACUUUCCUGACACUCUCACCAAAACCGGAUCUUAACUUUUUGUCUGUCUGUCUGUCUGUCUGUCUGUCAGUGCUGACGAUCAAACCCAGGGCCUGGAAUAUGAUCAUUGUGCAACUAAGCUACAUCACCAGCCCCUUAAUUUUUAAAACUUGUGCCCAUCUAAUAGGCAGUAGCAUUGUUGUAUUCUCUAUUUCAAUGUUUAAGUUGUGUAUUGUGUCAACUUAAUAUAAAAAUUUUAAAG
rnacentral:lncRNA from 1 species